UUAAAUUGAAGCGUUUGAUCAUGGCUCAGACUGAACGCUGGCGGCAGGCCUAACACAUGAAAGACGAACGGUAACAUAAAGCAGCUUGCUGCUUUGAUGACGAGUGGCGGACGGGUGAGUAAUGUCUGGGAAACUGCCUGAUGGAGGGGGAUAACUACUGGAAACGGUAGCUAAUACCGCAUAACGUCGCAAGACCAAAGAGGGGGACCUUCGGGCCUCUUGCCAUCGGAUGUGCCCAGAUGGGAUUAGCUAGUAGGUGGGGUAAAGGCUCACCUAGGCGACGAUCCCUAGCUGGUCUGAGAGGAUGACCAGCCACACUGGAACUGAGACACGGUCCAGACUCCUACGGGAGGCAGCAGUGGGGAAUAUUGCACAAUGGGCGCAAGCCUGAUGCAGCCAUGCCGCGUGUAUGAAGAAGGCCUUCGGGUUGUAAAGUACUUUCAGCGGGGAGGAAGGGAGUAAAGUUAAUACCUUUGCUCAUUGACGUUACCCGCAGAAGAAGCACCGGCUAACUCCGUGCCAGCAGCCGCGGUAAUACGGAGGGUGCAAGCGUUAAUCGGAAUUACUGGGCGUAAAGCGCACGCAGGCGGUUUGUUAAGUCAGAUGUGAAAUCCCCGGGCUCAACCUGGGAACUGCAUCUGAUACUGGCAAGCUUGAGUCUCGUAGAGGGGGGUAGAAUUCCAGGUGUAGCGGUGAAAUGCGUAGAGAUCUGGAGGAAUACCGGUGGCGAAGGCGGCCCCCUGGACGAAGACUGACGCUCAGGUGCGAAAGCGUGGGGAGCAAACAGGAUUAGAUACCCUGGUAGUCCACGCCGUAAACGAUGUCGACUUGGAGGUUGUGCCCUUGAGGCGUGGCUUCCGGAGCUAACGCGUUAAGUCGACCGCCUGGGGAGUACGGCCGCAAGGUUAAAACUCAAAUGAAUUGACGGGGGCCCGCACAAGCGGUGGAGCAUGUGGUUUAAUUCGAUGCAACGCGAAGAACCUUACCUGGUCUUGACAUCCACGGAAGUUUUCAGAGAUGAGAAUGUGCCUUCGGGAACCGUGAGACAGGUGCUGCAUGGCUGUCGUCAGCUCGUGUUGUGAAAUGUUGGGUUAAGUCCCGCAACGAGCGCAACCCUUAUCCUUUGUUGCCAGCGGUCCGGCCGGGAACUCAAAGGAGACUGCCAGUGAUAAACUGGAGGAAGGUGGGGAUGACGUCAAGUCAUCAUGGCCCUUACGACCAGGGCUACACACGUGCUACAAUGGCGCAUACAAAGAGAAGCGACCUCGCGAGAGCAAGCGGACCUCAUAAAGUGCGUCGUAGUCCGGAUUGGAGUCUGCAACUCGACUCCAUGAAGUCGGAAUCGCUAGUAAUCGUGGAUCAGAAUGCCACGGUGAAUACGUUCCCGGGCCUUGUACACACCGCCCGUCACACCAUGGGAGUGGGUUGCAAAAGAAGUAGGUAGCUUAACCUUCGGGAGGGCGCUUACCACUUUGUGAUUCAUGACUGGGGUGAAGUCGUAACAAGGUAACCGUAGGGGAACCUGCGGUUGGAUCACCUCCUUACCUUAAAGAAGC
rnacentral:rRNA from 1 species